rnacentral:lncRNA from 1 species
GCAGAAAUCAGGCACUCACACCUGACCCCCAGCUGGACCCCCAGAGUCCGGUGUGACCCUCAGCUAGGCACGCAUGUGACAACAGGGAAGGGAGAGAAGCACACCCGUCGCACGCAGACACACAACUUCUCAAGUUCACACAGGACGCUCUCUGUUGCAGAAUUCCAAAGGAGAAUUCCAAGAGCAAGUAAACUCUUUUUUCUUAAAACCGGCUGGAGUUUGCCUUUCUACCAGCAGCAGGCACACAGUAGACCCCGUGGGAAGGACAAAGCACUGGCUUUGACAGUGAGCCUGGAGAGAUCCAGGUCUUGCACCUGCCUGGAGGUUAACACAAACACAAAAGUCUCCAUCCCCCAGGACCCCCGCCUUGGGGGUGGGAACAGGGACGGGCAUGCCUGUGCUGAGGACACAGGGCCAGUGUGGGGCUCGUGCCCCAAGGAGGUGGCCACUGCAGAACCUUUAACGUCCGGGUCACAGAGGAACAGCUUACCGAACGAGAAACCGCUCAUUGACAAAGCACACACAGGCACCAGGCCAGCGGGCACACAUGCCUGCACCCAGGUGACAAACGGAGAUCCAGGGUUCACACAGUGGCCCCAGCUCUGCAGGCAGGGCUGUGAGAGCACCAACACCUUACUCAAUCUUCCCACUUCAAUUUACGUGUGGUCAGCAAGAGUCGAGGUGCAGCAAUACUGGCCUCCUUUGAGUGUGUGUCGGCGCCUGCUCAGGCCACCGCACCACGCAGCCUUCCCACAGAGGCCGAGCCUCCCAGCGCUUCUCUGUUUAAUCGCCGUCAGCGGCCUUCCAACCAAGUGCAUUCUGGAAUCCCUACCAAACUCAGAGCCGAGACGAGCCUGUGAGCUGGCGAUGAGGCACUGGGGUGCAGGGUCAGAGCUCAGCCUAGACACGGUGAGCAUCCAUGCCCAAGGCCUCUGGGGACACAGCGACCCUGGCUUCCUGGUGGAGCCCAUCUCAAAGUACCCUGCAAGGAAACAGUGUGCAUUCAAACGCUCUUUGUGGAGCAGAAACAGCCGCUGCGCUUGCCUUGCCCCGCCAGAGGGUCGGCACGGCGGGGACAGGCCACUGUGA